rnacentral:rRNA from 1 species
CCUACGGGAGGCAGCAGUGGGGAAUAUUGGACAAUGGGCGAAAGCCUGAUCCAGCCAUGCCGCGUGUGUGAAGAAGGCCUUCGGGUUGUAAAGCACUUUCAGUGGGGAAGAAAGCCUUGGGGCUAAUACCCUCGAGGAAGGACAUCACCCACAGAAGAAGCACCGGCUAACUCCGUGCCAGCAGCCGCGGUAAUACGGAGGGUGCGAGCGUUAAUCGGAAUUACUGGGCGUAAAGCGCGCGUAGGCGGUCUGAUAAGCCGGUUGUGAAAGCCCCGGGCUCAACCUGGGAACGGCAUCCGGAACUGUCAGGCUAGAGUGCAGGAGAGGAAGGUAGAAUUCCCGGUGUAGCGGUGAAAUGCGUAGAGAUCGGGAGGAAUACCAGUGGCGACGGCGGCCUUCUGGACUGACACUGACGCUGAGGUGCGAAAGCGUGGGUAGCAAACAGGAUUAGAUACCCGAGUAGUC